AGUAUACAUGAAUUUGCUUCUGCCUUUGCCACCCCUGAGACAGCAAGACCAACAACCCCUUCUCUUCCUCUUCAGCCUACUCAGUGUGAAGAUGAUAAAAUGAAACAGUUGGUGAUGUUUCAGAGAACCCAACUCAAACUGACUUGAACAAGAGAAAUCAAUGUUUACUGCAGAGAACACAGAAGGCAGCAAGCAGCAGGGAAGGGAGGCGAACCAACGCAGCAGCCCACCGGGACCCAGGAGGACACACGCAGAGCAAGUCAUGGGAAGCGCAGCUGAAAACAAAUGGACGCUUAUCCCAAAUGCACAGGACACUUACCAAGGACUGAUGGUCUGUCAAAGUAAAGCUCAACAGCUUUGGCUGGCAGGACAGUUAAACUUUUGGAUGACAGAAAGUAACAGUGGGAAAUGGGACAACAUCUGCCAGCAACGUGAGAGGCCAAGACCAUGGCUGCUACAGGAGGGGUCAGCGUCGCAGUACACGGAUGGCGGCGGUUGCACAUGCAUGCCUGGGGAAUGUGAGUGUUCAGACAUGCCAGGAGUCCAGCCUCACCAGGAAACAGGCACACAGGGACAGAGGCGCAAACACUGAAAACUCUAGCUGAAUCCACUCGGCUGAACGGUGGUCACGGGAGCACGGCGCUGCGCUCCCCACAAAACUGCACCUGGGCCCCAGGGUGAGACAGGCGUGGAAGGUGCAGGGGUGCAGGUGGGGGCAGGGGCUCCCGGCUCAGAGCAGUAUCCAGGAACCCCCCUUCAGGCUGGAGCCCUGCCCUGAGCCCCCUGCAGGGGUGACUGUGGGACAGCAGCAUCAGGCCUAGUCUCGGCUGUGAAGUCCCCCCCACCUCCACGCAGGAUCCCCGGGAUUCUGUCAAGGUGGGGGCCGCCUGCUCAGCCCAGGCUCCCUGAACAUGUGGCUGGCUGGGUUUGCGGAAGAAACCAGGAGAGUGCCAACACCAGGCUUGCAAGCAAGAAGCUACCUGACCGCCUGAUCCUGGAGCACACCCCAUCCUCCCUGUGUUCCCUGGGCCUCAGCUGUUCCCCAGUGACCUUGGACACACCCUGCCCCGCCCUGGCUCCACAGGACCCCUGCCCAUCACCGCCUCAGCUCUGAGUCUCCCCUGGGGACACAACCUUCCUCCUGGUGCAGAGGUGCAGGACGCUGCCCCCAAGGCCCAUCUUCCUCUGCAGCAUGUUUUGAUGUCAGCUCAUUCACAGGAAAGAAACAAUCACAUCUCAGUGCCCAGAAUGGGGACCAAUAGGAGAGGUCACUGGGAAUAAAGCCCACAUGCACCCCAGGGUCCAUGGGCUCCCCAGAAACGCAGGUGGCCUCCGCCAGAGCCAGCAAGCCUAAGUUGCUGAUCGGCCCCUCCCUGCUUCCCUGUGUGGAAGAGGAAACAGAGGCCCAGACUAGUAGGGCUCUGCCGUGGUGACAGGCUGCGUCCCCAGACCUCUGGUCCCAGGGCUGGCUGGGAGUGCCCCUCCCUGUGCUCACUUCCUGCUCUCCUGGGAAAUGGCUCAGGGUUGGGGCCUGUGGGGACAGAUGCUGGCAUAGCUCACAAAAUGCUUGCACAAGGGACACUCCAUGGCAGGUCCCUGCAGCAGAGCAAAGUCACAACGUUCAGAGAUUCCCUGCACUCUGAGGCCCGCAGAGCCUGGCCGACCAAGUGAGGCUGGGAGGAUGGUGCCUGCUGGUCAGGGCGGCUGAGCAAGGCUGGGAGGAUGUUGCCUGCUGGUCAGGGCAGCCCUCCGAUCAGGGUGGCCGAGUGAGGCUGGGAGGAUGGUGCCCGCUGGUCAGGGCAGCUGAGCGGGGCUGGGAGGAUGGUGCCUGCUGGUCAGGGCAGCCCUCUGGUCAGGGUGGCCAAGCGAGGCAGGGAGGGAGGUGCCCACCGGUCAGGGCAGCUGAACAAGGCUGGAAAGAUGGUGCCUGCUAGUCAGGGCAGCUCAGGAGGUGUUACCCAGGAGGUGCUGUCCAGGCAGAGCCUAGGGCUGGUGUGGGUGUGCCAUGCUCCUGAGAAGUUUCUGGGUUGUGGCUUUAAUGUUCUCCUGCAGUGAGAACGCUGACACUUGGCCAAAGGGUCCUCACCUCUCCCCUAGUACACUUCUGAGAUGCCAGGAAGGUUCUGAACAGCAGAUUGAUUCCUGGGACUCCCCUCCAGGGUGGCCUUACUGGAGUCAGGAGCCCCCGCCCCACUAGGAUGGCUCUGCAGUGGCCUGAGGACAGCGAGCACUGGUCAGUGGUGCAAAGUUGCCCACUGUGAUGGUUUUGACCUUUGAUGGGAACCAACUGAAAGUCCUGCAGCUAUGUCUAGGCAUGUCAGAGGGUGCUUCCCUGCAUGUACUCUGCCACAGACCACUCUGCCGCAGACCACCCUCCCUGGGCCAGGAGACCGCUACACAGAAGGAGAUUCUUUUUUUUCUCUUUCGAGCACUUUUAUUCUCUUUUUCUUAAUCUCUGCUCCUCCUCUGAACUGAGGAAUGUGCAAAUCUUUUUUGUUAGUUUUGAGGUUGCUUCUUAUGCAUAUUUCAUCUGGAACUUUCCCCUUUGGGGGUGAUCUGUUCUAUCAGCCUGCCCGCUGCUAGAGAGGCCGAGGUGGUCCGGCCAGCCGUGCGCUGCUGCUGGUGUCUCUGUGGGCAUGACCUGGUGAGAUAUCAUUCUGCUUCUGGGGGUCCAUCCUAUCAGCCCUGUGUUCUAGAUUCCCCAGUGACUGACAUUUAACCAGUCUCCUCUGUCACUCUCCAGUGACAUGCACACACUGUUGGCAUGAACUGCAGAUGUCACAUUCUGUGGCUGAGAGCCUCAGUGUGCAUCUGUAGUAGGAAGACGUCAGUGAGGACUGCCCUGUCGCUGCUGAGCUGGUGCCGACUGUGCCUGGUCUACACUCCAGGUCUGCCAAAUGACUCAGCAAGGUCCUUCACAGCUCUUCUGAUCCAGGAUCACACAUCACACGUGCUUUGAUGCCUGCUUAUGAACAAUUUUACCUCCUGAGAUGUCCAUUUUUGGGAGUGUGAGCCUUCCUCUCCUGGUGACAGCUGGCUGAGGCCGUCCAGCCUCAGGACACACAGGGAAUGGCUGCAUAAGGAGAUCUGGGGCAGGGAGCCCACCAGGAUGUUCUGCCCUGUGGGGGGCAAUGCCGGCUGUGGUCUGCCGGCGGCAUCCAGGGACAGUCUAUCUAGGUGAGGCCGAGGCCGCCCCCGCUCGCUCCCUCACCCCCAUGCUGACAGCAGUGAGCUGACCGCAGAUCGGGGGAGCCCCACAGGGAGACUGGCCUCCCCAGCACACGCCCCGCAGUGCCAGACGUGGUCAUCACAGAGGCAGGUACACGGCACCACGGAUGUGCCACGUACCCCCAUCGGGACCAAGGGCCACUGAGAAACCACGAAGGCCAUGCAGCGACUGUGGCGGCAGGACCGUCAGGAGGCCAUAGGUGCCACGGCUCCCCUCUGGUGGUUCACCUGCCCACCUGCACCUGGGGUGGCCCCUCCAGUGCACUCCCGAGAGCAGAACACCCCCCCAGGCAACACGUCUGAUGAAGGCCAACAGCGCGAGUCCUCUGGUGUUUGGUGACGUCAGAGCUGUGCCGAAAGGCCUUCCCUCACUGCUCACACUUGAAGGGCUUCUCUCCAGUGUGGACCCUCUGAUGGCGAAUGUGGUCUGUCUUAUGCUUAAAGAUCCACCUCCAUUAACUGCACUCUUAGGGUUUCUUCCUCUGAAAAGAAAUGGACACGGGAACCCCCUCAAAGGCAUUUUUAAAUGAAGCGUGGAAGACAUCAAAGAUAUGCUCUUCUUCAGGACUCAGGCUUCUCCAUCGUUCUCUGUUCCUUGGAAGCGUGAGGGCUAAGGAGCUGAUGACUUCUCUCUGUUGGCCCCACUUCAAGAAUGGCUUGCUUCCCACACACCUCUCCACGCUCCCAGCGCGGGACUGACACUCUGCACCGGGAGGCCAAGGGCCACCAUCCUCUUGCUGGGAGAAAGUGUGACCUUUUGGUCAUAGGAGGGAGUGUGAUCUGACACCAGAGGACUUAAUAUAACAUUGCAGCGUUAACAUCUUCACUGGCAGAUUCAUGGACUUUUCCCCUCCUGAAUGCAUUUCAACACCUUGAAAUGAACGAUGCCUCAUGUCUCUGCAGGGUGGAUAUAGCUCUAACUCUCUGAAGCUGAUUAUAUGUCAAGUUCUGUGUGAAAUGAGAGACCAUGGGGAUUCAUUAUUGCUGGAGUUGAUGGUAUUGCAGUUUUACAACCAUCUAAUAAAUUAGCAUUUAAUACUGAGAGAUUUCAUCUUAAACUUAGAGGAUUGCUUUGUUUUAAAGAAGAUUUUUGCAAGGAGAAGCAAUGGAAACCAUUCAGAAAAUGUGGGAGAUAAAAAUCCUAUCCAAGAAAAUGGAUCUUGGAUCUUUGCAUUCACUUGAUUUGUCAGAAUAUUAUUCUGUGCUAAAAAAUAGAAGGGAUUAAAUGUUAAAAAUCACUGAGGCACAA
rnacentral:lncRNA from 1 species